GGCCGCGCUCGGCGAGGUGAGGGGCGAGGCGGGGCGGUGGGUCGCGGAGCCGGGAUAGGGCCGGUCACCCGCAGCGACGUGAGGGGCACGUUUCGCCCCGGCGGAGCAACCUGCCGAUAGCCCCUAGCAAAAGUUGUCUACAAUGUGACUCAGCAGGACUAGAGAGAAAACACAGUGUGGACCAUCAGCUACAAUGCACAACCACAAAAAUGAAGUGCUGGCAUCUGUGAAUGGAAGGGGUUUGUGGUGCUGCAUGUGUGCAGAUCAUCAAAUACAGAAGAAUGAAGGGGUAAAGUUCAGAUAACCUAGGAGAGGCUUAACUACCAUUUUUUCAUAGUGGCAAUAACGCGAAAGGCCUGGACAUGUUUCAAAAUGUCAGAAGUUCCUGUGAAAUAGAAGUACCAGUUCUGCCAUAGCUGUCUGUGGAGCCUUUAGAAUGGGGAAUACUAGUUAAUCUCUCUAAUUACCCCCAUAAACCCAAAUUUUCAGGAGAGAGAAAAAAGUAAGAAAAAAAAAUUAGAGAAGAAAUAACAUGCAGAUUUUUUGUAGUGAACUUGUCCUCAAUAACUGAAGCAUACAUGCAAUUUUUCCUGUAACAGAACUAGUUCUACUUAUGUACAGAAGCUUUCUAGCAAUAAGCCUGUGUCUGCCCUCUGACUCUGCUGUAUGAAGGAGACAUCAGCGGUAUGGUACAAGCCAUUCUUCUAGUGACUUUUUGCAGCAGACUGGAAUAAGAAGAUGGACUUUGUUUCAAUCUGUGGCAAAAAUCACUCAUAAAAUCCUGGAAUCUGAAUGUAACCAUUUGGGGCCUUUUAAAGCUGCCUUGAUUUGCUUGACUGUGCUAUUUCAACUGCUCAUUAUUGGCAUACUGAAAUAUUCAUCUACAAACUUGGAAAUCCCAGUUCUCUUUCUGAACUGAGUGCCUCUAAUUUAUUCAACUGAAGUUAGGAGUUUCAUUUUUCAAGUAAAUUUAACAAAUGCUUUCUCUCUCUCAAAUCCCUUUUCAGAAGAUUAAAAGAGGGAGUAUCUAAAGAGGAUAUAAUAUCCUAAGGCAUUCACCUUCUUAAUAAGAUUGAUCCUGCCUAAGAAGACUAUGGAUAAUUCAAGCCAUCUGACCAAAUCACUUUUCAUUUCUAUAAGUGUCUUGGUCAGGUUGUAUAUGUAAGGUGGACAAAGGGAGAGAGAUGUGAAGGCAACAGCAAAUACAGCCAGGUAACUUCUGGUAGACUAAACACCAGAGAGAGAACUGCACAGAUUAGGAAGAAGGUUCUGUGAUACUCUGGCUUUUAUUUUUUUAAGUCAAAAAGGAACCAAAAGGAAGUUCAUGACUUUAUUUAUUCCAAUAAUGUGUUAAAACUGGAUGCACAAAAAAGUAACAAACUAUCUACAUAAAAUAUUUCCAUUUACUGGCUCCUCCCAUCUGGAUUUCCUGGAUUAUGGCCAAAGAGCUUUAGCUGCCAGAUUUUUCUCUAACAGAAAAUCCAUCUGAGCAGAAUUUAAUACUGGCAGAGGAUGUUUGGAGACAUGUGUGAAAAAUUAGGAACCCUUUAAGGGAAGAAGUCACCCAAUUAAAAAUGUGCAGAAAAUAAUCUAUCAUACAUUCCCAUCAAAUCUCUUUUGAUUUCAAGUACCAGAAUAAUGACUGGAUCAAACCCAGUUGAGUCUAGAGCUGGCUGCACUGUCUGUUAUGGAUUUACCAUUAUUUUUUGAGAGAUAAAAAAAUCUAAAUUGUGCUUUUUAAUGUUUUUAGUUUUGCUUUUUAUGUACUUUCAUUGUUGAAUACCUUGCACAAAUAAUUUUCAGUCCUUUGGCUAUUUAAAACAGCGUCCUUUGAGUAUUUCAGCACAUUUAUCCGUGUUGUGUGUUUGUACUUUCAGGUAUUGUUUUUCCCUGACUGGAUAACUCUUAAUUUUAAAAUAGAUUUAUCAAUAAUCAGGAAAUAAAAAUACCAAACUGUAGCAUAUUCUGUUUCAAAAGGAUAUUAAUUUUCCUAAAAUGUGUGAAACAUUUGUAUCCAUAGGCAUUUGGAGGAAAUGCUAAAUAAGACAACAGAUUAAUAAGGCUACCAAUUAACAAAUCACAUUCUUCAGCUUAUUAACAGGCAUAUUUGCUACUUAAGCGAGUUUUUUUGGUUUUGCUGUGUAAAUACUGACUCAACCCUACCACAGAAUGUGUGGUACUGGGCCUGUAGUACAGAAAUCAGAGAGGUAGGGUUUUUCUGUUUUGUAGAGAAAAACGAAAAAGUGCAAAAUAAUUCUUUGAGGUUUUAUUUUCCCCCUGAAAUAGAGCUGUUUAAUUUUGUAAUUAUUGUCAAAACACUUUAUUGUUUAAAGAAAUAACCCCCUUUUUUAAGAAAAAAGUCAAAAUAAUUUCCUUAUUUUCAAAGUAAAUAUUUAUUUUUCAGCAUUCUGGAACAAAAACAUUUGGGUGGCAUUCAUUUGACCAGCUGUAACCAUCACUUAUCACAUACAUAUCUUUCAAUAAAGUGAACUGACAUCCAGACAGGCCUGUUUCUCUGAGCUGACUAUAACUAUGGAGUUAGACAAAAUGCUUAACUCAGGUCUGGCUACAGAUAAGUAUAUUCCAAAAAAAUCCCAAACAACCCACCUGUCCUUUUUGGAGUAGGUUUGAAAUGACUUCACAUAUUGAACUCUGAAAUUUGUGAAUUCUUUUCAGUUCAAACCUGAUUUAUUCUGCAUAUUUGGUCCAAAACCACUUCUGAAGCAUGCCCCAGAGAGAGGGGAAAUGAAUGUACAGUAUUUAAUUCUCCAUGUCUAUAAAGAUUUGAAUUCUAUUAUUUCCUCUCCAAUUAUAUCUCUUUUAUCAUAGCUGCAGGGUGUGUUUCAGAGUUACCCUUUACUCUGCUAAUCAAGAAGAAUGUGUCUGUUAUUCUCCACAUUUCUUUUGUGGUGACCGUCACCGUUUCUGGGGGUGUGUGAGCAAGAUGUUCACCUCACCAGACAUACCACUAGAAGUCUGAACAGAAACAGCCCCAUGAAUUCCCAGCCUUGCAGCUUCUGUGGUGGAUUAAAUAGAGAUCUAUGCGUUUCAGAAUGAAAGACAAACACAUCCUUCAGGAGCGUCUUCUGCAACCAAUGUGAUACAGACCUUAAAAAUUAUUUGGAUAUUUGGCAAAGAUCUUGGCUUCACUGGGAAGCCGCUGGACCUCAGGAGCCUCAGGCAUAGGCUGUCAUCACAUAUGGCAUCUCAGAUACUACCAGUGAAGAUAAAAUAAUUUCAUAAUAAAUGUAAAAUUUGUAGGCUA